rnacentral:rRNA from 1 species
AGAGUUUGAUCCUGGCUCAGGAUGAACGCUAGCUACAGGCUUAACACAUGCAAGUCGAGGGGCAGCAUGAAGGUAGCUUGCUACCUUUGAUGGCGACCGGCGCACGGGUGCGUAACACGUAUCCAAUCUGCCCGUUACUCAGGGAUAGCCUUUCGAAAGAAAGAUUAAUACCUGAUGGUUUCCGCAGGCCGCAUGACCUGCGGAAUAAAGAUUUAUCGGUAACGGAUGAGGAUGCGUCCGAUUAGCUUGUUGGCGGGGUAACGGCCCACCAAGGCGACGAUCGGUAGGGGCUCUGAGAGGAGGAUCCCCCACAUUGGAACUGAGACACGGUCCAAACUCCUACGGGAGGCAGCAGUGAGGAAUAUUGGUCAAUGGGCGCGAGCCUGAACCAGCCAAGUAGCUUGAGGGACGACUGCCCUAUGGGUUGUAAACCUCUUUUGUUUGGGAAUAAAGUGAGCCACGUGUGGCUUUUUGUAUGUACCUUACGAAUAAGCAUCGGCUAAUUCCGUGCCAGCAGCCGCGGUAAUACGGAAGGUCCGGGCGUUAUCCGGAUUUAUUGGGUUUAAAGGGAGCGCAGGCCGAUUAUUAAGCGUGACGUGAAAUGUAGAUGCUCAACAUCUGAACUGCGUCGCGAACUGGUAGUCUUGAGUGAGUUCGAUGUGGGCGGAAUUCGUGGUGUAGCGGUGAAAUGCUUAGAUAUCACGAAGAACCCCGAUUGCGAAGGCAGCUGACGAGUCCUUUACUGACGCUAAAGCUCGAAAGUGCGGGUAUCGAACAGGAUUAGAUACCCUGGUAGUCCGCACGGUAAACGAUGGAUGCCCGCUGUUGGCGAUAUACUGUCAGCGGCCAAGCGAAAGCGUUAAGCAUCCCACCUGGGGAGUACGCCGGCAACGGUGAAACUCAAAGGAAUUGACGGGGGCCCGCACAAGCGGAGGAACAUGUGGUUUAAUUCGAUGAUACGCGAGGAACCUUACCCGGGCUUGAACUGCAGGAGAACGAUCCAGAGAUGGUGAGGUCCUUCGGGACUCCUGUGGAGGUGCUGCAUGGUUGUCGUCAGCUCGUGCCGUGAGGUGUCGGCUUAAGUGCCAUAACGAGCGCAACCCCUUUCAUUAGUUGCCAUCACUUCGGGUGGGCACUCUGGAGACACUGCCACCGUAAGGUGCGAGGAAGGUGGGGAUGACGUCAAAUCAGCACGGCCCUUACGUCCGGGGCUACACACGUGUUACAAUGGGUGGUACAGAGAGUCGGUCGCUGGCAAUAGCGAUCCAAUCCUAAAAGCCAUCCUCAGUUCGGAUUGGGGUCUGCAACCCGACCCCAUGAAGCUGGAUUCGCUAGUAAUCGCGCAUCAGCCAUGGCGCGGUGAAUACGUUCCCGGGCCUUGUACACACCGCCCGUCAAGCCAUGAAAGCCGGGGGCGCCUGAAGUCCGUGACCGCGAGGGUCGGCCUAGGGUGAAACCGGUGAUUGGGGCUAAGUCGUAACAAGGUAACCGUAA